UGACGGGAUUCUUCUCCUCUCCCUCUCACGAUCGUGAAGCAGCAACAGCGCCGCGGAAAGCCUUUCUCCUCCAACGGAACCGACAUCACCACACAGCCACCGUGAAUUAUCACCUCUCAUCUCGACUCUCUUCUAUCUCUGGUCUCCACGCGUUCUCAAUCUCUCUCUCUUCUCAAAUCCCAUGUUCUCUCUCGGUUCUCUCAGAUCAAUCGAAAUCACGCCUUUACUGAUCAGAGAAGCUUUGACGGCUUCCUCCACGGCGGCGAGACAGAAGAUAAAAAACAAAGUUCACCACUCAGUUGUUGAUACGUGGAUGGAGUUGAUGCGGGUUGAAGGUUCCUUCUGAGUUUGUGAAGACUUGAAGGAUCGAUCGAAGAAGAUGAAGAGGGUAUGUCGUUUUCUUUUUCUUCUGCAAAUUGAUGAAUGGUGACUGAAGGUUAAAGAAAAACGGUUAUGGCGAAAGGUUGAAUGAAGAUUGGAUCGAGAGAGAUGGGGUAAAGGGAAGGAUUUCUGUUAGAGGUUGUUAUGAGGUGAAUUUGAGAGAAGGUGUGAAGUAUGAAGAAAAGUCAAGGUUGAAGAUGAGAGAGAGCAGAAGAAUCGAUGGAGGGAGAAUGAUUCGGUUACAGGUGAGUGUGUAUGAAGAUUUUUGUAUGUUUGAGAAAAGUUUUUGCAGAGAGUAUCAUCUGUUUUUCUUCUCUGCAGAGGUAGGGUUUAAAAGGAAGUUUUGGUGUAUGGUGUGUGUUGCAGAUGGGAUACUGAGAGGUAUUUAUUAGUAGAACAACUUUUUGAUGUGAUUUAUAAGCAUCUUGAUCAGGGUAGCAUGUCUAGCAUUUCAAUGCCAAGGUGAGUGUUUCUGUUUUUAUCCAUUUUAUAAUUUUAAUGAAGAAUCUUUUGGUAGUUUAAGAUGAUCCUAAUGAACAUUCUACUCAGGGGUGAUGGAAAUAAGAAUGUUAAAUCUGGAACUUUGAGUAGCUCACAAUGUGGCUUAGUGGAACUUGAAGCGGUUUUAUUUGUUUUGAGCAGGAUACCCACUUAAAUUUGGGCUUCUCUUUAUCUUUAGGCAAUCAUAGUUGAAUCAGUUGUGAUUAUGGUAUUCUUACAAUCCAAGAGUUCCUCUAACAAUUUUUUAUUUAGAUACUCAAACUCCAACUUCUUCACCAGUUGACUGUACCAAGCCAAACUUUAGCAUUGUGCCUAGUCGAAUCUCAGAUUUGUGCUGCAAAUUUUCCCCAUGGCUUUUAUUCGUACUCCUUUAUGCUUUAUUUGCUUCGGACAUUGCACAAGAAGCUGUGAAGAAGACAGAAAACUAGAUGGAUGUUUAAAAACUGACGAAAGCAGCACUGAGUCAUUCUACCUGUUCAUGAAGAAUGGAAAGCCACUGCUCUAUAUUCAAAAAGUCUAGAUACACAGGUAAUGCUCCAAAAGUUGAGAGAAGCGCAACAGGAAGAUUAGCAUGGUUGAACAAGUGUGUUAGGUCAUGGACAUUGUUUUAAAACCCUGAAUAAAUGUAGUUGCUUUUUAAGCUUUUUGUUUUGGUUUUAGAUUAGCAUGGUUGAUCUAGUGUUUUGGUCAUUUGUUUGCAGGAGAGCGUAGAGAAUGGAUCUGCUGGAAAAUUUGUUGAUUGCAUUCUAUCACUGAAAUGGUUUCAUGAGUCCAAGCAGAAGAACAACCAGAGUGGACCCAGCAAACGCCUGAAAUCUCCUUUAGUUAUGCAAUCAAUUAGUAGAAUGCAACGAAGAGCCACAACUGCAUUACCCUGUGAUGCAUGCAGGCGCUUGGGUUUGUCUGCAACAUCUGAAAAUAAGCCUCCUUCUGAGAGUAGUUUUCAAACACGAGAAGGACAAACCAACAUUAUUUAGAUCAUUUUACAAGUGGUUAAAACCUGGAGGUCAACUUCUAAUUACUGAUUACAACAAGGAGAUGAUCAAGACGAAUAUUAAGAAGUUGUGUUUUAUAUUAUCUAGCUAGUUAGUUCUUAGAACUUUUGUUGUUAUUUUGGGACGACUCUUUGAGAGAAACUUGCGUUUAAUUUAGCUCUUGUUUUGAAUCCCAUGGUUGUUUUGAAUUUGGGAUGACAUCAAAACUUAGUAUCCAACUUAUUAGUGGCACUACAAAAAAAACUUACUUUUGACGUUAA